rnacentral:rRNA from 1 species
GGGAUGACACAGUAGGAUAAGCUAAGCACACUGUUGGUUAUGUGUGCCCAAGCAUUGAGGCAGUCAAAGUAGGCAAAUCCGCUUUGAUAAUGCUGGGAUGUGAUGGGGAGCGAAAUUUAGUAGCGAAGUAGCUGAUUUCACACUGUCAAGAAAAGUCUCUAUCGAGGUUAAAGGUACCCGUACCGCAAACCGACACAGGUGGGUGAGGAGAGUAUCCUAAGGCCAGCGAGAGAACUGUUGUUAAGGAACUCGGCAAAAUGACCCCGUAACUUAGGGAUAAGGGGUGCCACCAUCAGGUGGCCGCAGAGAAUAGGCCCAAGCGACUGUUUACCAAAAACAUAGGUUUCUGCUAAGUCGCAAGACGAUGUAUAGGAGCUGACGCCUGCCCGGUGCUGGAAGGUUAAGGGGAUCUGUUAGAGCAAUCGAAGCAGUGAACUUAAGCCCCAGUAAACGGCGGCCGUAACUAUAACGGUCCUAAGGUAGCGAAAUUCCUUGUCGGGUAAGUUCCGACCCGCACGAAAGGCGUAACGAUUUGGGCACUGUCUCAACAACAGACUCGGUGAAAUUGUAAUUCCGGUGAAGAUGCCGGAUACCUGCGACAGGACGGAAAGACCCCAUGGAGCUUUACUGUAGCUUGACAUUGGGUCUUGGUACUACAUGUACAGGAUAGGUGGGAGGCUUUGAAACCAGGACGCCAGUUUUGGCGGAGCCAUCCUUGGGAUACCACCCUUGUAGUACUGGGACUCUAACCAUAGGCCAUGAAUCUGGUCUUGGGACACUGUCAGGUGGGCAGUUUGACUGGGGCGGUCGCCUCCCAAAAGGUAACGGAGGCGCUCAAAGGUUCUCUCAGUACGGUCGGAAAUCGUACGUAGAGUGUAAAGGCAAAAGAGAGCUUGAUUGCAAGACAUACAGGUCGAGCAAGGAUGAAAAUCGGACUUAGUGAUCCGGUGGUUCUGCGUGGAAGGGCCAUCGCUCAACGGAUAAAAGCUACCCUGGGGAUAACAGGCUUAUCUCCCCCAAGAGUCCACAUCGACGGGGAGGUUUGGCACCUCGAUGUCGGCUCAUCACAUCCUGGGGCUGUAGUAGGUCCCAAGGGUUGGGCUGUUCGCCCAUUAAAGUGGUACGCGAGCUGGGUUCAGAACGUCGUGAGACAGUUCGGUCCCUAUCCGUCGCAGGCGUAGGAAAUUUGAGAAGACCUGUCCUUAGUACGAGAGGACCGGGAUGGACG